rnacentral:rRNA from 1 species
GACGAACGCUGGCGGCGUGCCUAAUACAUGCAAGUCGAACGCAGUGGGGACGGGUGAGUAACACGUGGGUAACCUCCCAUCAGAGGGGAUAACACUUGGAAACAGGUGCUAAACCGAUACUGAUGGAUGGACCCGCGGUGCAUUAGCUAGUGGGUGAGGUAACGGCACACCAAGGCCACGAUGCAUAGCCGACCGGAGAGGUGGUGCGGCCACACUGGAACUGAGACGCGGCCCAGACUCCACCGCGAGGCAGCGGUAGGGAAUCUUCGGCAAUGGACGAGAGGCUGACCGGGCAACGCCGCGUGGGUGAAGAGGGUUUUCGGAUCGUAAAACUCUGUUGUUAUAGAAGCGGUAUCUAACCAGAAAGCCACGGCUAACUACGUGCCAGCAGCCGCGGUAAUAC